UGUGGCAGUGUGAGUAGGGGAAGCAGACACGUCACACGGACACGUGGCAGCGCUGCCACUGUAUUUUACAAAACAAGAAGGGCAUUCCGGUCAUUGAGUAGGGUACAUUCACAUAGUCGGUUGUUGUGCUGUGUCUCCAUUUUUCUUUUUUGGUGCAUGCGAGCGAGGCUUUGCAAAUUUGUUCAAGUAUUAGUAACGAUUGAUCGAGUGAAUAAUAUUGGAAAUGAUGGAUCUGAAUGUGAAUGAGAAAAAGAAAUGUUGCGCUGAUUGCAAAACCACCAAGACACCACUCUGGAGAGGAGGACCAGCUGGACCCAAGACCUUAUGCAACGCUUGUGGAAUUAGGUAUAGGAAGAGAAGGGCUUGUUCGAGGAAGCGAGAGGAGCAGAGGUGGAAGAUGUUGGGGGAAGAGGAACAGGCCGCGGUGUGCUUGAUGGCCUUGUCCUCUGGUUUUGUUUUCGCUUGAUUGCAAAGCAUUCCUUAAUUUAGUAAUCCACGACAAUCCUUUUUGAUGUCGCAUACCUAACCUUGUAAAGGUCAAGCCUCUGUUUAUAACAUGGUGUUCUUCUCUGUUCUCUUGUUUCCCUAA